rnacentral:rRNA from 1 species
ACUCCUACGGGGAGGCAGCAGUAGGGAAUCUUCCACAAUGGGCGCAAGCCUGAUGGAGCAACACCGCGUGAGUGAAGAAGGGUUUCGGCUCGUAAAAGCUCUGUUGUUAAAGAAGAACACGUAUGAGAGUAACUGUUCAUACGUUGACGGUAUUUAACCAGAAAGUCACGGCUAACUACGUGCCAGCAGCCGCGGUAAUACGUAGGUGGCAAGCGUUAUCCGGGAUUUAUUGGGCGUUAAAGAGAGUGCAGGCGGUUUUCUAAGUCUGAUGUGAAAGCCUUCGGCUUUAAACCGGAGAAGUGCAUCGGAAACUGGAUAACUUGAGUGCAGAAGAGGGUAGUGGAACUCCAUGUGUAGCGGUGGAAUGCGUAGAUAUAUGGAAGACACCAGUGGCGAAGGCGGCUACCUGGUCUGCAGCUGACGCUGAGACUCGAAAGCAUGGGUAGCGAACAGGAUUAGAUA